GAAGGCUUGGCUGUCCAGUAGGAAUAUUUGUCAGCUGUCUUGAGCUUUGACUCAUGACUGCUAAAGGGAAUGUGCCCGCAAGUUAAUUCCCCAGGGGAGAAAAUAGGAUUAAGGAAAGACGUGAAGGUUUAGGGACAAUAGCUGUUUAACGGGCAGCUGGGCACUCGGGGAAGCUGGUAAGAGGUGGAACAGGCCACUGAGUUGGAUCCGUUGAGGACACAGCAGCCCUUCCCUGAGCUAAAAACAGUCCCAGGGCUUCGGUUCCGGUCUGCGUGUUGGCUUGUUUGUCAAGGCGGCUUGGUUGAACUCAUUUUUUCCCCACUUUCUGUGAUGCUUGGGAAGUGGAAGACCACACAGUUGGGGUCACCAGCCUACAGCAGAGUGAGAACAACCUGAGUAUCCGCACACAGAUGAACGGAUAAACACGUCGUAUGCACGCGAUGGGAUGUGACUCUACCCUAACAAGGAAUGAAUUCUGACACUGCUACAACACGGAUGGGCUGUAAAGACGUUAUGCUCGCUGUAACAGUCUAAACAAAAAAGACAAAUGUUGUGCGAUUCCACUUCUAUGAGGGAACAAGCCUAAUGGAGUGAAUAGAGACAGGAAGUAGGGUGGCGGUUAUUGUUUCACGGGCACAGAGUUCCGCUUUGGGAAAGUGACAUCUGGAGAUGGAUCUGCAGCAAGGGGAAUGCGUUUAACGCCCCUGAGCUGUACGUUUAAAAAUGGACAAAGUGAGUCAAAGCGCUGUUUUCCGAAGUGGCUCCAAUCUCCUGGAGGCUGGGAGAGCCCCGUGUUGGGCUUACAGCAAAGGAGCCGAGCAGUCUGCUGGGGUCAGGAGUCCGCGCCAUCUCUGCGCCUGGCCCGCCUGAGUGAGCCCCUCGGGGUCCCCAGAAGGUUCUGUCUCUGUUGAUUGCGUCUUGCUUCAUGAAAAGGCAACUUCUCAGGGGCCCCCUUGUUACUUAAAAACAAAUCAGCUCAAAAUAAUCCUUUUGCCAAAGAAAAGCUACCCCAGGCUGGCGUAUUCAGCUACCCCUCAGUGCCUUCCUGUGACCGGAGCCAUGGCCCCCACCGGUCACCACGGCUGCUCCCCCAUCUCGGCGGCCCCAGGCUGGCGGACGUGAGGCUCAGGCUGUGUGCGGUGGGAAGGAAGGACGGCAGAACGCGCGGAGAUCUGGAUUCAGGCCUCGAGGCCCUGCGUUUGGGUCGUGGGGCCGGAGUCUCUGACCCCCACCCGCUGCAGCUGUGACGUAGGAUACAGUUUCCAGGCCGCUCGUGGCUGCGCGUGUGAGCACGGGGUUCACAGCGGCGGAUCCCAACCCGGCUGCACUUGACUUCUACCAGUCCCGCCUGCAGAGAUGACCCCGUGGGCCCGGGAGCCACGGGAGCCCCAGGACGUCCCAGAGUGACUCCAGCGCGCCCUGGACUCCUGGGAACUUGCUAGAAAUGUAAAUAAUAAUAAUAAUAAUAAUAAUUCUUCUUCUUCUUCUUCUUCUUCUUCUUCUUCU